rnacentral:rRNA from 1 species
UGUAAGCGUAUACCAAAGUUGUUGCAGUUAAAACGCUCGUAGUCGGAAUUUGGCAGUUCCGGAAGUGUGCACGUCGUGUGCGCACUUUGCGGGGACUGCUUUUGUGGUCUUGCGUAGGAUGAGGCACUUUCAUUAGUGAACGUCCUCACGCAACCACUCUUUACUGUGAGAAAAUCAGAGUGCUCAAAGCAGGCAUUUGCCGCGAAUGUAUUAGCAUGGAAUAAUAGAAUAGGACUCGGUUCUAUUUUGUUGGUUUGUUGGGACUGAGUAAUGAUUAAGAGGGACAGUUGGGGGCAUUUGUAUUCCGGCGCUAGAGGUGAAAUUCUUAGAUUGCCGGAAGACAAACUGCUGCGAAAGCGUCUGCCAAGGAUGUUUUCAUUGA